GCUAAACGCGAAGAACCUUACCAAGGCUUGACAUGCACGGGAAGCCACCAGAGAUGGUGGUCUCUUUGGACACUCGUGCACAGGUGGUGCAUGGUUGUCGUCAGCUCGUGUCGUGAGAUGUUGGGUUAAGUCCCGCAACGAGCGCAACCCUCGUCCCAUGUUGCCAGCGGGUUAUGCCGGGGACUCAUGGGAGACUGCCGGGGUCAACUCGGAGGAAGGUGGGGAUGACGUCAAAUCAUCAUGCCCCUUAUGUCUUGGGCUUCACGCAUGCUACAAUGGCCGGUACAAAGGGCUGCGAUACCGUAAGGUGGAGCGAAUCCCAAAAAGCCGGUCUCAGUUCGGAUUGGGGUCUGCAACUCGACCCCAUGAAGUCGGAGUCGCUAGUAAUCGCAGAUCAGCAACGCUGCGGUGAAUACGUUCCCGGGUCUUGUACACACCG
rnacentral:rRNA from 1 species